AGUGAACGCUGGCGGCGUGCUUAACACAUGCAAGUCGAACGAGAACGGAUUAUAGCUUGCUAUAAUUGUCAGCUAAGUGGCGCACGGGUGAGUAAUGUAUAGGUAAUAUGCCUCUUACUAAGGGAUAACAAAUGGAAACGUUUGCUAAUACCUUAUACUCCUUAUUAACAGAAGUUAAUAAGGGAAAGAUUUAUUGGUAAGAGAUUAGCCUGUAUUGUAUCAGUUAGUUGGUGGGGUAAUGGCUUACCAAGACUAUGACACAUAACUGGUUUGAGAGGAUGAUCAGUGACACUGGAACUGAGACACGGUCCAGACUCCUACGGGAGGCAGCAGUAGGGAAUAUUGCACAAUGGACGAAAGUCUGAUGCAGCAACGCCGCGGGGAGGAUGACACAUUUCGGUGCGUAAACUCCUUUUAUAUGAGAAGAUAAUGACGGUAUUAUAUGAAUAAGCACCGGCUAACUCCGUGCCAGCCGCCGCCGUAA
rnacentral:rRNA from 1 species